rnacentral:rRNA from 1 species
AGCGUAGACGGAAUGGCAAGUCUGAUGUGAAAGGCCGGGGCUCAACCCCGGGACUGCAUUGGAAACUGUCAAUCUAGAGUACCGGAGGGGUAAGUGGAAUUCCUAGUGUAGCGGUGAAAUGCGUAGAUAUUAGGAGGAACACCAGUGGCGAAGGCGGCUUACUGGACGGUAACUGACGUUGAGGCUCGAAAGCGUGGGGAGCAAACA